rnacentral:pre_miRNA from 1 species
ACCUUACUCCCUCCGUCCGAAAAUACUUGUCAUCAAAAUGGAUAAAAAGAUAUGUAUCUAGAACUAAAAUACAUCUAGAUACAUCCCCUUUUAUCCAUUAUGAUGACAAGUAUUUCCGGACAGAGGGAGUACAUU